UCCAGGUAGAUAGCUGGGUUGUACAAAACUGCUUUCAGACAGAUACUUCAGUCUAUGGUGACACCCACCUGCGGACAGAAGACUAGGAGAUGGCGACUCAGCAUAAACUGUAUUAAUACAUCCAGAAACAGUCUCCAGGCAGCUUGAAGGCCUCAAAUGUACAAUUUGUCUUGGAGCAGCUUGUGAUCCAAAGAACUCCGUGCAUCCCAUAGAAUGCUGUUGCUUCCUUUGGAAACAGCCUUACACAAGGCAGAAGAAUAGAAGUGAGUUCCUUGCAAUGUGUUAGUAGCCAGCUGGCUAUCAGAACAAUUUUUCUAUCUAUAGUUACAGAAGUUGUCCA